UGUUAGGGCCUAGAGGACUCAAGCCAGAGCAAAUGAGCAGCAGAUUUUGCACCUGUAGUUUGCCAGCUUGAAUCUGACCCAGAGCAGCUGUUCACAUCAGAGGCUAUUGGGUGGCCUGUGUAGAAGGACAGUGAGAUGGUCCUUUGAGAAUUUUCUGCUACUGAAGAAAGAGUUCCCUUCCUCUUGGCUGCCGAACAUCUUUGCACCACACCUGGGAAUGACGCUGGUCACAUUCUCCUGUCUCCUGGCUUUGGAUCUGAAUGUUUCACCACGUUAUUAUAAUGUCGAUGUUCAGAUCAAGUCCCUAAGGUGAU
rnacentral:lncRNA from 1 species